AUCCCCAGUGAGGCUGUUUUACUGCCGUGCUCAGAAAUGUGUCUCCGCUGCUGCUGCUGCCAGAGGCUCCGUUGUUAGAUGAUCUCUGCUGCUCAUCUCAGAGGCUGCACGGAUGGGAGGAAAAUACCCUGUGCACAACCAAUAACCGAAUGGAAUGGAACCGAAUGGACUUUGGAGAACUGUGUCCAAAAGAUACUUGCUGUAAGUAAAGAGGCCAUUCUUUAAACUGUCCAGAAACAUUUCUGAGAUUCACUGGAGAGAUUUAGAGGAGAAACUUUUGAAAUUCUUCAAUCUUACCACAGCAAUAGAUAGUGUAGUUAAAAAUGUAUCAAGCCAGUACAUGGGAAGAUGAUGUCAGAAAC